GAUGAAGAACGUAGCGAAAUGCGAUAAGUAAUGUGAAUUGCAGAAUUCAGUGAAUCAUCGAAUCUUUGAACGCACAUUGCGCCCGCCAGUAUUCUGGCGGGCAUGCCUGUUCGAGCGUCAUUUCAACCAUCAAGCCCCCGGGCUUGCGUUGGGGCUCUGCGGCUGCCGCAGACCCCUAAAACCAGUGGCGGGCUCGCUGUCACACCGAGCGCAGUAGCAAUAUCUCGUUCUGGGCGCGGCGGCGGGCGCUUGCCGUAAAACCCCAACUCACGAAAUGUUGACCUCGGAUCAGGUAGGAAUACCCGCUGAACUUAAGCAUAUCAAUAAGCGGAGGA
rnacentral:misc_RNA from 1 species